rfam:Paenibacillaceae bacterium GAS479 genome assembly, chromosome: I
AACUUUAGAACACGCAUGCCUAAGACAGUAGGUGCCCUUGCGGCUUAAUUUUCCUACCGAGGUGUUAUGAUAAACGUUUCUCGUAAACGGAUCAUGGCCUUCGCUGUCUUGGCGGAGGCCUUUAUACAUGCACCU